rnacentral:rRNA from 1 species
CCUACGGGAGGCAGCAGUGAGGAAUAUUGGUCAAUGGGCGCGAGCCUGAACCAGCCAAGUCGCGUGAGGGAAGACGGUCCUAUGGAUUGUAAACCUCUUUUGUCGGGGAGCAAAAGACGCCCCGCGUGGCGUUCCGAGAGUACCCGAAGAAAAAGCAUCGGCUAACUCCGAGCCAGCAGCCGCGGUAAGACGGAGGAUGCGAGCGUUAUCCGGAUUUAUUGGGUUUACAGGGUGCGCAGGCGGCAGAUCAAGUCAGCGGUAAAUUUGAGAGGCUCAACCUCUUCGAGCCGUUGAAACUGGUGUUCUUGAGUGAGUGAGAAGUAUGCGGAAUGCGUGGUGUAGCGGUGAAAUGCAUAGAUAUCACGCAGAACUCCGAUUGCGAAGGCAGCAUACCGGCGCUCAACUGACGCUCAUGCACGAAAGUGUGGGUAUCGAACAGGAUUAGAUACCCCAGUAGUC